AGCGAACGCUGGCGGCAGGCCUAAUACAUGCAAGUCGAACGCACCUUCGGGUGAGUGGCGGACGGGUGAGUAACGCGUGGGAACGUGCCCUUUGGUUCGGAACAACACAGGGAAACUUGUGCUAAUACCGAAUGUGCCCUUCGGGGGAAAGGAUUUAUCGCCAUUGGAGCGGCCCGCGUUGGAUUAGCUAGUUGGUAGGGUAAAAGCCUACCAAGGCUACGAUCCAUAGCUGGUCUGAGAGGANGAUCAGCCACACUGGGACUGAGACACGGCCCAGACUCCUACGGGAGGCAGCAGUAGGGAAUCUUGCGCAAUGGGCGAAAGCCUGACGCAGCCAUGCCGCGUGAAUGAUGAAGGUCUUAGGAUUGUAAAAUUCUUUC
rnacentral:rRNA from 1 species